CCACCAGCAUUUUGUGUGUGUUGUUCUAAUACCUUCAUUAUUUAUUUUAAAAGACGGAGGAAAACAAAUCUUUCCUACAGCUGUACUGGAUGGAUCCAAGCUGGGUUUGAAAUGGCAGAACACUUGUGCACGGGAAUCUCAACCACAACAACACAUCAGUUUUGCUGACUCUGUCUGGAUAUUUAAGGAGUAACCAAAUAUUUUCUUUGCUACACCAACACAUCUGUUGUCGAUCCUUGGAGAUGAAGAAUUAUCUCAUCCCAGCUGGUGAUGUAUUCUGUCUCUGAAAUGAAGUUUUCUGUUUUAACUCAGUGAAAUUCACUGGAACUGGGAGCUGAGAACUCACCAGCAUUUGUUCACUGGAGAUCAGUUCUUCAGCUGCAUUGAUUGUACAAGGGAUUCAAACGUCUGACUUUCUGAAUUGCCAGAGAAUUGAUCACAGUGAGAUAUCAUUCUCCUUCUCUCAGUGUGGGAAGAGAUUCACUCACAGGCUACCCGCAGACACGCCAGUGAGUUCACAGUGGGGAGAGGCCAUUCACCCGCUCUGUGUGAGGGAGGGGAACCACUCAGUCAUCCAGUCUGAAGAUACAUCAGCAAGUUCACACCAUAGUGAGAUGCUUCACCUGUUCUGUAAGGGGGAAGCCAUUCUGUUAUCGAUGGUAAUGGUAUAUCAGAAAAUUCACCAGUGAGGGGAGAUUGACCUGAAGAUGGUGGAAGGCAUUCACAUACUCAACCACACCACAGUGACGCCAGCCAGUUCACACCGGGGAGAUGCCAUUCACCUGCUCUGAAUGUGGGAAAGGGUUCACUCAAUCAUCUCAGCUGAAUGAACAUCAGCGAGUUCACACUGAAAAGAUGCCGUUCACCUGCUCAGACUGUGGGAAAGGAUUCACUCACUCAUCCGACCUACAGAGACACCAGCGAGUUCACACUGGGAAGAAGCCAUUCACAUGCUCUGAAUGUGGGAAGGGAUUUGCUCGGUCAUCUCUGCUCUUGAAACACCAGCAAAUUCACACUGGGGACAAACCAUUCAUCUGCUCAGAAUGUGGGAAGGGAUUCACCGAUUCAGCUCAGCUGAAAAAACAUCAGUUUGUUCACACUGCGGAGAGACCGUUCACCUGCUCAGACUGUGGGAAAGGAUUCAUUCGGCAUUCUCAUCUACUGACACACCAGUUAGAUCACACUGGGGAGAAACCAUUCAUCUGCUCUGAAUGUGGGAAGGGAUUCACCCAUUCAGCUCAACUGAAGGAACAUCAGCGACUUCACACUGGUGAAUGGCCGUUCACCUGCUCUGAAUGUGGGAAGGGAUUCACUCGGUCAUCUCGACUGAAGGUGCAUCAGCGAGUUCACACUGGGGAGAGGCCGUUCAUCUGCUCUGAAUGUGGGAAGGGAUUCGCUGUGUCAUCUCAACUGCAGGUACAUCAGAAAUUUCACACUGGGGAGAGGCCAUUCAGAUGCUCUGAAUGUGGGAGGGGCUUCAUUCAGCCAUUUCGACUGAAGCUACAUCAGCGAGUUCACACUGGGGAGAAACCGUUCACCUGCUCUGAAUGUGGGAAGGGAUUCACUCGGCAAUCUCAACUGACGGAACAUCAGCGAGUUCACACUGGGGAGAGGCCAUUCGCCUGCUCUGAAUGUGGGAAUAGUUUUGCUUGGUCAUCUCAGCUGAAGGUACAUCAGCGAAUUCACACUGGGGAGAAACCUUUCAGCUGCUCUGAAUGUGGGAAGGGAUUCACUCAGUCAUCCAAACUUUUGAGGCAUUACCAAAUUCACACUAGGAAGAAUCUGUUCACCUGCUCAGAUUGUGGGAAAGAAUUCACUCGGUUAUCUGACUUUAAAACACAUCAGCGAAUUCCCACUGGGGGAUGCCACUCACCUGUUCUGAAUGUGGGAAAGGAUUCACUCAGACAUCUCAAUUAAGACUAUAAGAUAUAGGGGCAGAAGUAGGCCAUUCGGACUUUCGAGUCUGCUCCGCCAUUCAAUCAUGGGCUGAUCCAAUUCUUCCAGUCAUCCCCACUCCCCUGCCUUCUCCCCAUACCCUUUGAUGCUCUACCUAAGCAGGAACCUAUCCCUCUCUGCCUUAAGUGCACCGAAUGACUUGGCCUCCACAGUUGCUUGUGGCAACAAAUUCCACAAAUUUACCACCCUCGGAGUAAAGGUCACACCAGCCCCUCUGCCGACUAACCUAUCUUUCUGAUACACCGUAUAUCCUUGGACAUUCAGCUCCCAAUGGCAGCCAUCCUUUAGCCAAGUUUCAGAGAUAUCCACAAAGUCAAUGUGUAGCUGAAUUUCAAGAUAAUCCAUUUUAUUUCUUAUGCUGUGUGCAUACAAAUAUAACACUUUCAGUCCAGUAUUGAAUGAACUUCAGCGAGUACACACUGGGGAGAAACUGUACACUGCUCAGAGCGGGAAGGAAUUCACUCCGUCAUCUCAAAUGAAUAAACAUCACCGAGUUCACACUGAGUAGAAACCGUUCAUCUGUUCCAACUGGGAAUGAAUUCACACUUCCAUCUCGCCUGCCGACACACCAGACUGUUUUCAGCAGUGUGUGGACGUUGAUCUGCUCAGACUGUGGGAAGGCAUUCACACACUUAUCCACGCUGCAGAGACAGUGGGUUCACACUGUGGUGAGGGUGGUGAUGUGCUCUGAAUGUGGGAUGGGUUUCAAUCAGUCAUUCAUCCUUGUGUCACCCUAUUCAGCUUUGAACCAUCGUUAAUCAGAGUGAUCUGAAGCUUGAGAGGAUGAAAUUCAUUCAGGUUUGCCAAUCGAGUAGUAGAAGCAGUGGUUCAGGGCAGGUUAUUUUUGAGCUUUCACCAGUGGCCAAUCAACAGUCAGGAUUGAUUACCAAGAAGAUCUUGGGCAGGACCAAGUGCAGUGGGCAGAGUCAGAGCGGAGACUUUGAGACUUUACCUCUUUCAAGUUUCAGUAAGGAGAACCUUCAAUCAGAGAAGGCAGAAUUAUGCUGGAGGUAGAAAUUUUUUGCCCCCUUCCUCACGUUUGCUCAGUUAGAACAGUGGAGAUGCCAGGCAGGAUAGUGGAAAGCUCCUCCUGUGGGAUGUGGGAAGGCAGGAAACCCUCCUAUGUCCUGAUAACUACACCUGUGAGAAGUGCAUCCAGCUUCAGCUCCGAACAAUCCACAUUGAGGAGUGGGAGCUGGAACUGGAUGAACUCCAGACCAUUCGGGAGGCUGGAGGGGUGAUAGGUAGGAAUUAUAGAGAGGUAGUUGCACCCAAGGUCACAGCACAGUAAACUGGGUGACAGGAAGGGAAAAGGGGGAAACAGUGAGUGCAGUGUACCCCUGUGUCCAUCCCCAUGGACAACACAUAUAUCACUUUAGAUACUGUUAAAGACGGUGGGAUGACCUGGCAAAGGAAGGUCACAGCAGGAGGAUCUCUGGCGCUUAGUCUGGCUCUGAGACUGAGAAGGGAAGGGUGGAGAAGAGGUAAGCUGUGGUCAUAGGUGAUUCGUUAGCUAAGGGAACUGACUGGAUGUUCUGUGGGUGAGAAUGAGAUUCCAGGAUGGUAUGUUGCCUCCUGUGUGCUGGGUCUGGGACAUUUCGGGUCGAGCGCACGGCAUUCCUCAGGAGGGUGAACAGUGAAGGUCGUGGUUCAUGUGGAUGAUAUGGGCUGGUAGAGUAACGAGGUUCUGCAAAGGGAGUUCUGGGGGUGAGGUGCUAAGUUAAAGGGCAGCUCGUCCAGGGCUGUGACCUCAGGUCUGCAUCUGUGCCACAUACCAGAAACAGGAAGAUUAUACAGUUUAACACAUGGCUAAGGAGUUACUGCAGGAGUGAGGGCAUAAGAUUUUCGAAUUACAGUAUUUCAGUUGGUGAUGAUUGCGGUUUGUUUAGGAAUGUGAGUUCAUUGGGCAGGAGGGGGACAUCAUUGAUGCAGGCUGAAGUGGGCAGACAGGUCUCUCACACACAAACACAUAAAGGGGAGUGAGAAUGGAACAGAGAAAGGAGGAGGAUGGAGUUUGGGCUCCUUCACAAAGUCCCAGACUCACCCAACUCUCCCCCUCUGGAAUUGGUCCCAUUUCCUACCCAAGGCUGGGGGUGAGCAUUGAGUUACGUUGCAAACAUUUUUAUGAAUUGUUCGGUAACAUCUCGUGAACAAACUUUGAUAAUCAAUUUACGUUGAACUUGGACAUUGAAAUUUAUUGUUUGAGAAACAUGUACUGAUGAGAACACAUAUCGGAGUCUAUCCCAUCUGUCUGUGCUUGACACGUAUAGGGUUCUCAGUAAUACUAGAUGGACUGUUCACUGUUAGUGGCUUCUCGUACUGUUAACUGCUGAGCAACGGGUUCUCUGUAACAGCCAUGUUUGGGUUAUACUAUGUGAUAAUGGAAAUUGUCUUCAUUUUGCUGGCCAAUGGAAGUCAUGUUAUGUUAUCUUGUAUAUGUGUGCUGAGUUGAGGAGCGCAGGCUUUUUCGGGAGGCGAGCAGAGAGGACGAACAUGUGGGGAACGGACAGUGGUUCCAGGGCGGCGGAUACCAGACCUCAGGAGUUCGGAGGGUGGCCGGAGUCUCGGAAGGACAGUGUGGAUGGAAUCGGAGGCGUGAGCUCCAACGUAUUAAAAUAUUAUAUGCACAAGCUUGAUAAGUUACUUAUGUGGCACCUUUUCUUUUAGUUGUUGCUACUAACCCAUCACCAAAAUUUCGUUUACUCGCACUUGAUAUAUUGUUUGAUAUUUGUGUCGUGACUGAUAGUUGGACGACUCACACCGUAUCUACACCAAAGCAUUUGAACUGUUGGCGGGGUCAACGGCUAUUCACCCUAGAUAACGGGAGUCAGUUGGGGCAAAGGCCGUUACAUUGUGGGGGCUCUUCCGGGAUUUGAAUUCUGUCAGGAUAAGGGAUAAGUCGCCCGGGUUAAGUUAGAAGAGAUGGACGCAGAUAAGAUUGAACUUUGGUGUGAGAUCGAGGAUGGCCCGGUUAAUCAUGCCUGCCGAUUAAGUGGGGUGGAUAUAGUACGCCGGACGAUGUGUGAACUCGAUGUCUGAGUACGGUCAGAGCUAUUGGUAAGGUUGAGAUUGUAAACAGAAAGAUUAAUAAAACGGGGCACUCAGCCUCUGUGCUGAUACAGACGGCUGCUGACAUCAAGGAGUUGGAACUGCCCCAGUCUAUCGGUGACUUAGGUGAGGUGGGGCCUUGGGGCGUGCACGCUGUCACGGAGGAAGGGUCUGAAGAGACACCGGAGGGGUUGCCCGAAGCUGGGGGCGGAGAUUUCAGAGAGCGGGUCCAAUCGUUUUUGAGGGAUGAAGGAAGGGGGUGGUCGGAUUUGGAGAAUGUAAUUAGUUCUCAUUCCCCACGGAAGGGGGAGGGCUCUGAGUUGGCCUCUUUGGUGAACCGGGCGGUGGGUCCGCGACAGAAGUUAAAAAUUUUACCAGGGAGGACUCCCCAUCCCCGACGGGGAAGAGGAUUACGAGUCUUGGAUAGAACAUACCUCUCAGUUGCAGUGUUCUGAGGAGGAGAAACGGCAAAGAUUGGGGAACAGUUUGAGAGGGGCGGCAGCUGAGGUGGUAAAAGAGGCGAGAGUUAACCAGCCCCUGGCUUCUCGGAAGGAGUGUCUAGUCGCCCUAGAGGAGGCGUUUGGGCUGACGGUGCAGCUUUUAGGGGUGAUUCAGAAUCUGUGUCAGGAGAUAGGGGAAAGGCUUUCUGAGUAUCUUCUCCGACUUGAGCGUAGGCGAAAUUGCUUGAGGUGCCGGGGGGUCAUUUCAAGAGCUGAGGUGGAUCGGAUAAGGAUCGACCAGGUAGUCAGGGGCGCGCAGAGACAUGAUGCGAUCGCUACGAGCCUCUGACAGUCUCGUAGAGCGUGCCCCCUGCCUCCGUCUUUUGUUCAGUUUGCUCAGAGUGGUAAGGGAGGAGGAGGACGAAUUGGAAGCGGAAGAAGGCUCUGUUAACAAGGUAUAGUCCUCGGUAGUAGCUCUUUGUGGUGAAAUGACCGGGGCCAGCUCCAUGUGGAGACACAAAAGGGGGUCGCGGCAGGUGGGGUCCCUCCGCGGGAGGGGACUGGCGGAGAAGGUGCCUCCCUGAAGGGACGGCCGGCACUGAGUCCAGGCGGAGACUAGGGUCCUGCGAGGCCAGGCGUGUGCUAUAACUGCGGGGAAGAGGUGGCACUUCAGGUGAACAGCAGGGAGCCCCUCGGAGGGAGAGCCCUCGGGUGUCCCAGCAGGAAGGGGGGUCGGGAAACUUAGAAGAGACUCACUGAGGGAACGCAUUGGAGUCUCUGGGAAAAUACGUUCCCAACAGUGUGCCGCGGGACCCUCAAGAGGAAAAGACCCUAUCCCAGAAGGAUUGGUGGGGCCCCGAUCCAGCGUGUCAAUACCGAUAGGGGGGACAGAUGCAAAAGCCAUACUCGACAC